ACUGAGUAUACUGGGCCCAGCCAGAUUCUCUGGGUGCUUUCUUCUUUCUUAGUUCCCCCUUUAUUGUGGGCCCUCCUCAGUGCCAACAUUGCUUUGUCUCUCGCUGGAGAAGCCUGUGAGAACGAGGAUGGGCAAAGUGUCAGGCUCUUGGUGCAGCUGAAAAUCCUUUGAGAUGGAAGAAAUGGCUGGAACAAAGGGGCAGAGGAACAAAAAGCCCUGAACUGCUUCGCCCCUGCCUCGUGGGGUCUUUAUCAUCUUAAACCUUGGGAUUUGGGCUUUGAUCAACUCGGCCUUCCUGGGCCUCGGGGAGAGAGACGGACUGCCUCCGGGUGCUCAUGACCUUUCCAGCAGUAAGCCAAUAAUGUAUGACUCCUGCGUUGCCGUUGCUCGUUUGAGGCACAGUGGAUUGAAGAGGGGGGCAGUGCUGAGUCAUUCACGUGGUGUGUGAGGGCUCCUGUUUGUAAAUCAGGGAUUCUUGCAGCCUGCUUUUUCAGGGACAUUGGCUGCUGUCUUCUGACCCACCCUGUGUGGCUUUGGCGUCUCCUGUGACCUCCCAGUAUGGGUCUUGGCCUCAUCCUGCCUCUUUGUCUUUCUGGCCCACCACCCACAGCUUGAAUCUCAGGCUCCAACAGUUGCCUGACCCCCAGAUUCUGAUGACAGCCUACCUACUUGUUCUUCAGGCCCUCACCAGACUCACUGCCCAGACACACCACACAGGAGAACAUGAAAGGGUGAAUGAAUCUUUCAUCAUUUGAUGACCAAGUUGGCAUUCUUUUACAUUCCAGCCACCAGAGGAAGGUGUAUUUUAACACAAUUGCCCUCACAUCCUCCUUAACAGGAUUUACAUAAGUUUAUUAACACAUAUGUUUCUACAAAAUCAAGUUUUGAGAACCAUUUUUAUACACUGAUCUGGGACAUUUUGGGGAUAUGAAAUUAACUUUAGCACACACAGCAAGAAGAAAACCGAACAACAAAUUCUACAAACACCAAAUUUGCUGUGAAAUUUACAUUUCAGAAUCUCUCAAGAAAUAGUGCCCAGCAGCAAUUCUUACUGUUUUCACUUUUUCCCCCGUCUUCACAUUUUUAUGUUUGACAGUGCCAACAUAUUUUCUCAACAUUUAUUCUGAAAGGAAUGUACUUUGUGAAUUCCUUAAAUGCAGGAUGAUUCUGAUUUUAUUGGCCUAAUAGCUCCUCCUUAUGCGUGGGUUAGUAUAACAGAAUGCAUUUGAGACCUGCUAUACUAUUUUAAAUUAAGACAUUUCAUGUAGCACAUAGUAUUUUAAAAUGAAGAACAUUGUCUUGGAAAGCACACAGGCUAACUGCUAUUUUCUUGAUGCAAGAAAUAUUUAAAUUCUCUGUGCUUCAGUCUAUACAAUCAGUUUUCCAGGGAUGCUGUGUAUAUAAAACGAGGGAGUGUAUUAAGAGUAUCAGCAUGUAGUAGGUCCUUCAACAGAAGCUGGAGGUUCUGGCUCAAGGUCUGGCUUGUGUUCAAUGAACACCAAACCACAUAAUUGCCC
rnacentral:lncRNA from 1 species